UUUAGCUUUUUUACCGCCCUCUAUGCAACUUGAUCUUCUAGUGCAAAUGAGAGAACGGUUGGUGGCAGAGAACCGGAAAAAGUAUUAAAAAGUUAAGGGGAUUAACGAAGUGCAGAAAGUAGCUGGUGGAAGGGGAGUUGGUGGUGUUCAGAUUUCACUCACAGAUAGCAUCCAAAGCUAACAAAGUAUUUAUUA